CGGGACGGGUGAGUAAUGUCUGGGAAACUGCCUGAUGGAGGGGGAUAACUGCUGGAAACGGUAGCUAAUACCGCAUAACGUCGCAAGACCAAAGAGGGGGACCUUCGGGCCUUUUGCCAUCGGAUGUGCCCAGAUGGGAUUAGCUAGUAGGUGGGGUAACGGCUCACCUAGGCGACGAUCCCUAGCUGGUCUGAGAGGAUGGCCAGCCACACUGGAACUGAGACACGGUCCAG
rnacentral:rRNA from 1 species